AAAUAAUUUAAAACCCAAAACAUGUAUUGCAACUUGGCGUUCUAGUUACAUUGCUGUAAUCUGCCUUAAGGUUUAAGAGUAAAAGAGAAAGAAAUCCCGCAAGAUCCAAUAACAUCCGAAAAACAUCUAAUAGGAGAAUUGAAUUCCGUUAUCUGUGAGUUUAUUACAAAGGAAAAGAGCCCGAUAUGAAACAUUUCAAUAUUUCCUGGAAAACUAUUGUGGAUGUUACCAUGGUGUCCAAAAUGAAAUUUCAAAACUAUGUUAUUUUAUAUGUCUGCAUAUAUCCGUCGAUAUUUACUAUUUUUUAAUCGCGUGAAAUUUAUGUGAAGAUUAGGUUAAAGCAAUUUAUUUAUCGACGACUUUUCUUGAACGGAGUUGCAGCCCCGAUAUGAAAAGAUAUAACCCUGUUCAUUGUUGUGUCGCACUCUUCAAAUGAAAUAAAGUACAAUAAAAACA